rnacentral:lncRNA from 1 species
CAAUGCUUAGGUGCGGCGACGAUUUGAUGUUCGUCUACUUUUGAUGGAAAAGUCACAAAAUACCCAAAUAUUAUACGCAGCGAGAGAGGCGGGGAGAGAGAGAGAGAGAGAGCGAGAAUAUCUCUACAUUCUUCCUCCAAUUUCUGUCUGCAAACAGGUUCAUUUUCCGAUUCUUUUCUCAUGUUUCAAUUCGUUGGAUUUUGGAUUUUCUAGCAUUCUCUUGAUAAUCUCUAAUAAAGUACUUAUUUUUUUCGAUUGAUCUGGUAAUUCGUUGAUGUUUUUCUGCAUUUUUACGAACUAAUUGUUUACAUUGAUUUGAAUUAUUUGUGUUCUUCUUCAAUUGCUCUUCAAGGUAUGCCCAUCAAUACUUAGACACGACGAUGGUUUGAUGUCUAUCUACUUUUGAUGGAAAAGUCACAAAAUGCCCAAAUAUUAUACGCGGAGAGAGAGAGAGAGAGAGAGAGAGAGAGAGAGAGAAUAUCUCUGCCUUCUUCCUCCAAUUUCUAUCUGCAUACAAGUUCAUUUUCUGAUUCUUUUCUCAUGUUUCAAUUUGUUGGAUUUUGGAUUUUCUAACAUUCUCUCGAUAAUCUCUAAUAAAUUAUUUAUUUUUUUCGAUUGAUUUGGUAAUUCGUUGAUGUUUUUCUGCAUUUUUAAGACUAAUUGAUUACGUUGAUUUGAAUUAUUUGUUUUAAUCUUGCAUUCUUUUCCCUUGAUUAAAUUGAAUAGCAAUUUCAUUGUCUUCUUAAAGAGUUCAUUUCCAGGAUUUGAUAUUUUUAUUCUAGAAUUUGAUUGUCCUUUUUUUUUUCUCCUUCUUGAAUCAAAUAUUAAUAUGGAAGUUGGGUGGAUAUAAUUCGUGGACAUAUUGUUUUAACCUGGUAUAUACUUGCAGUAAGUGGGUUCAUCGUUGAUUGAAACAAUGAAAUUUGAUUCCAACAUUUUAUGUUGGGAAUUUUGAUUUGGGUCAUUUUAUGUUUUUAAUUU